rnacentral:rRNA from 1 species
GAUGAACGCUGGCGGCGUGCCUAAUACAUGCAAGUCGAGCGAACAGAUGAGAAGCUUGCUUCUCUGAUGUUAGCGGCGGACGGGUGAGUAACACGUGGGUAACCUACCUAUAAGACUGGGAUAACUACGGGAAACCGGGGCUAAUACCGGAUAAUAUUUUUAACCGCAUGGUUCAAUAGUGAAAGACGGUUUCGGCUGUCACUAAUUGAUGGACCCGCGCCGUAUUAGCUAGCUGGGAAGGUAACGGCUUACCAAGGCGACGAUACGUAGCCGACCUGAGAGGGUGAUCGGCCACACUGGAACUGAGACACGGGCCAGACUCCUACGGGAGGCAGCAGUAGGGAAUCUUCCGCAAUGGGCGAAAGCCUGACGGAGCAACGCCGCGUGAGUGAUGAAGGUCUUCGGAUCGUAAAACUCUGUUGUUAGGGAAGAACAAAUUUGUUAGUAACUGAACAAGUCUUGACGGUACCUAACCAGAAAGCCACGGCUAACUACGUGCCAGCCGCCGCGGUAA